GCCUCUGUAACUCAGUUGGUUAGAGCGCUGCACCGGAAUCACACUGGCCACAUGUUCGAUUCCUGUCAGGGACC